CAGAAGAAGCACCGGCUAACUCCGUGCCAGCAGCCGCGGUAAUACGGAGGGUGCGAGCGUUAAUCGGAAUUACUGGGCGUAAAGCGCAUGCAGGUGGUUUGUUAAGUCAGAUGUGAAAGCCCGGGGCUCAACCUCGGAAUUGCAUUUGAAACUGGCAGACUAGAGUACUGUAGAGGGGGGUAGAAUUUCAGGUGUAGCGGUGAAAUGCGUAGAGAUCUGAAGGAAUACCGGUGGCGAAGGCGGCCCCCUGGACAGAUACUGACACUCAGAUGCGAAAGCGUGGGGAGCAAACAGGAUUAGAUACCCUGGUAGUCCACGCCGUAAACGAUGUCUACUUGGAGGUUGUGGCCUUGAGCCGUGGCUUUCGGAGCUAACGCGUUAAGUAGACCGCCUGGGGAGUACGGUCGCAAGAUUAAAACUCAAAUGAAUUGACGGGGGCCCGCACAAGCGGUGGAGCAUGUGGUUUAAUUCGAUGCAACGCGAAGAACCUUACCUACUCUUGACAUCCAGAGAACUUUCCAGAGAUGGAUUGGUGCCUUCGGGAACUCUGAGACAGGUGCUGCAUGGCUGUCGUCAGCUCGUGUUGUGAAAUGUUGGGUUAAGUCCCGCAACGAGCGCAACCCUUAUCCUUGUUUGCCAGCGAGUAAUGUCGGGAACUCCAGGGAGACUGCCGGUGAUAAACCGGAGGAAGGUGGGGACGACGUCAAGUCAUCAUGGCCCUUACGAGUAGGGCUACACACGUGCUACAAUGGCGCAUACAGAGGGCGGCCAACUUGCGAAAGUGAGCGAAUCCCAAAAAGUGCGUCGUAGUCCGGAUUGGAGUCUGCAACUCGACUCCAUGAAGUCGGAAUCGCUAGUAAUCGUGGAUCAGAAUGCCACGGUGAAUACGUUCCCGGGCCUUGUACACACCGCCCGUCACACCAUGGGAGUGGGCUGCAAAAGAAGUAGGUAGUUUAACCUUCGGGGGGACGCUUACCACUUUGUGGUUCAUGACUGGGGUGAAGUCGUAACAAGGUAGCGCUAGGGGAACCUGGCGCUGGAUCACCUCCUUAAACGAUGAU
rnacentral:rRNA from 1 species